UACGAAGGGGGCUAGCGUUGCUCGGAAUUACUGGGCGUAAAGGGCGCGUAGGCGGCACUGUUAGUCAGGCGUGAAAUUCCUGGGCUCAACCUGGGGACUGCGCUUGAUACGGCAGAGCUAGAGGAUGGAAGAGGCUCGCGGAAUUCCCAGUGUAGAGGUGAAAUUCGUAGAUAUUGGGAAGAACACCGGUGGCGAAGGCGGCGAGCUGGUCCAUUACUGACGCUGAGGCGCGACAGCGUGGGGAGCAACGAG
rnacentral:rRNA from 1 species